rnacentral:rRNA from 1 species
GCAUAUCAAUAAGCGGAGGAAAAGAAACCAACAGGGAUUGCCCCAGUAACGGCGAGUGAAGCGGCAACAGCUCAAAUUUGAAAUCUGGUCCCCAGGGCCCGAGUUGUAAUUUGCAGAGGAUGCUUUUGGUGAGGUGCCUUCCGAGUUCCCUGGAACGGGACGCCAUAGAGGGUGAGAGCCCCGUCUGGUUGGAUACCGAGCCUCUGUAAAGCUCCUUCGACGAGUCGAGUAGUUUGGGAAUGCUGCUCUAAAUGGGAGGUAUAUGUCUUCUAAAGCUAAAUAUUGGCCAGAGACCGAUAGCGCACAAGUAGAGUGAUCGAAAGAUGAAAAGCACUUUGAAAAGAGGGUUAAAUAGUACGUGAAAUUGUUGAAAGGGAAGCACUUAUGACCAGACUUGGCCCCGGUGAAUCAUCCAGCGGUUCCCGCUGGUGCACUUUGCCGGGGUUCAGGCCAGCAUCAGUUCGCUCCGGGGGAUAAAGGCUUUGGGAAUGUGGCUCCCUCGGGAGUGUUAUAGCCCAUUGCGUAAUACCCUGUGGCGGGCUGAGGUUCGCGCUUUAUGCAAGGAUGCUGGCAUAAUGGUCAUCAGUGACCCGUCUUGAAACACGGACCAAGGAGUCGUCUUCGUAUGCGAGUGUUCGGGUGUUAAACCCCUACGCGUAAUGAAAGUGAACGCAGGUGAGAGCCCUCCAGGGCGCAUCAUCGACCGAUCCUGAUGUUCUCGGAUGGAUUUGAGUAAGAGCAUACGGGGCCGGACCCGAAAGAAGGUGAACUAUGCCUGUAUAGGGUGAAGCCAGAGGAAACUCUGGUGGAGGCUCGCAGCGGUUCUGACGUGCAAAUCGAUCGUCAAAUAUGGGCAUGGGGGCGAAAGACUAAUCGAACCUUCUAGUAGCUGGUUUCCGCCGAAG